rnacentral:rRNA from 1 species
UACGUAGGGUGCAAGCGUUGUCCGGAAUUAUUGGGCGUAAAGAGCUCGUAGGCGGUCUGUCGCGUCUGCUGUGAAAACUCGGGGCUUAACCCCGGGCCUGCAGUGGGUACGGGCAGACUAGAGUGCGGUAGGGGAGACUGGAAUCCUGUGUAGCGGUGAAAUGCGCAGAUAUCAGGAGGAACACCGGUGGCGAAGGCGGGUCUCUGGGCCGUAACUGACGCUGAGGAGCGAAAGCAUGGGGAGCGAACAGG